rnacentral:lncRNA from 1 species
CUUUUUGACCGCUGUAUCUUUAAAGGCUAGAAUAGUUCCUGGCACGGAAAGGGACUUAGCAAAUGUUUUUGACCAUCUGAGUGUUUACUGGGCACUGACCUGUGAGUGGUGGUUCAUGGGCAAAUGAGUGGAAACGUUAUUAUCCCUUGUCCAGAGGAAACUGGGCAGUACCAGAAGCACCACCUGUGGCACCCGGAGCUGCUCAGAGGAAGGUCUGAAAAUCACAAACCUCAGACUAACCCCUUCAUUUGAGAAACUGGGGCCCAGAGGGCUGAAGUGACUUUUGCAGUGUCAUGAAAUUGUCAACCAAAGGACUGAAUCCCAGCGCACUGUGCUUUCAGCUGUUUUAUCCUAUAUUCCUGAAGGAUAAGUUCUAUAGAAUAGAUUAGCUCCUAUCAGUGGGUAGCCCUCUAGGGAGAGAACUGUCAGAGGGUUUUGUUCACACCUUGUUUCAAAUGCUGCUGCUCCUUCAGGACUGUGGACACGGAGACCUGCUUCCUAAGACUUCCCUCCCCACUUGGCAAUCAUCUUGAAUUUGUAUUAGAAGUAAGGAAAUGGGACUGCUUUCUCCAAAUAUUUAUAAUGACUUUAUUGCUCUGAAUUGCCACACAUCAGAGAGAACUUUUAACCAUUAGGGGUCUUGACUUCCUAUUUGUGAAAAGUGGAGUGACUCUGAUCAAGAAGGCUCAACUCCUUUUGGUUGGAGAUCACAGGAAUGGCAUCAUGUCAUGAUGGCCAUAGGGGAGCCACACCAGCUGUACUGUCCCCAGUGGAAAGAGCCAGGACCCAGGACCCAGGGCAGGCAGUGACAGUUUCCCAGAGAGCCGACUCCCCUUCUCUGGGCUGGAUGAGCAGGAGAGACAGAGACACCUGGCCCUCCCGGAACAGAGUGAAGCUGACAAGCACUAGAGAGUGAUCAUGAGCAGACAGACCCUGGAGGAGGGUUGAAACUUGGAAGAAGGGACAACGCUGGGCUUGUAUUUAUGAAAAAUGCCACCUGAAGUGCUUCAAGCUGAAGUGAAAUUACACCAAAAAGAAACAGAGAUCUUUAGGAAGAAACAAAAAGCAACCAGAAAUGAAGUUCCUGGGCCAGGAAUCAAACCCAUACCAACUCAGCAACCCAAGCUACUAUAAUGACAACACUGGAUCCUUAAAUUGCUGAGUCACAGGAGAACUCCCCAUAAGUUUAUUUUCUAAGUGUGUGAAUCUGUUUCUGUCUUGUAACUAGUUUCAUUUGUAUCAUUUUUAAAGAGUUCACAUAUAAGUGAUAUCAUGUGGUAUCUGUCUUCCUCUGACUUACUUCACUUAGUGUGAUAAUCUCUAGGUGGGACUUGUAUUGUUGAACAGAUAGGAAUGUGCCAGAAAGAGCAGGUGCCCAAGACCGAUGUACCCGUGCUCACAGGAAGCAGUAGCCCAUCACACUGUGGAUCCCUCCACAGUUUCAUUUGUGCUCUCCCACACAGGAAGUUAAACAUUUAAACAUCUCCAUCAAUCCUUCCAGUCGUAUGUAUAAGCGCGAAUCAAGAAUGUUUAAGAUCUGUUUCACAAGGUCUUUAGGAUCCUGAUAAUCCUCCCAACAUCCUCGAUCAUGCUCUAAUCAGCCUUAACAAUACUUCUUUAUGUUUUUAUAUCAUGACUAUUGGAAAAGCUCUUUUAAUUUUGUGUGACUGGGUCCAGUUUGCUCACUUCUUCCCUAGGGAGCCUCUAAUAGGGGAUAUAUUACAGUAGGUCUGAUUUGUCUUUUCCCUAGGAGACUGGUGUCCACAAUCUCCCAAAUUCACAGCCUACUCUGAGACACACAGAUUUCUAGAUUUUAAUUUGCUUGAGUCAUAUCGAUAUUGAUAUUUAAUGUUAACCUGAGGUAAGCAUGAUAGAUAUGCUUGACUUAAAGAGCUGGGAGCACAGAAGAGAGUUUAAAUGAUUUGUCCAGGUCAUCUAGUGAACCCUCAAACUUAGAGCUAAGGCCAGGAUUCCUGUCGCUUUGACCUCUGAUUCAGAGUACUUUCUACCACUCAUUGUGACUCCAGCCCAUAUGGUCGAACCAAGUUCGGGUAGAUCCUGUGGUUCAUAUGUUUAUUGUUCAUUAUACUUAAAAGAAAAGGCCCUUUUUUUUUUUUUUUAAAUCAUGGUUUCCUCCUCAUCUUUGAGUAGUUUCCUUUCCCCUACAUUUAUGGGUCUAAAUGAGGGAUCUGAACAUGAGCUCAGUCAGAGGUAGAAACACAGAGCUGUGAGUUCACACAAUAGAAUAUAACCCAGGAGGUCAUCAGUUCCUUAGGGGUGUGAGCAGAGUAGGAGUGGGCUUCGCUUGGCCAGUGUCCAAAGGGGUCCCAGGAAAAUGGGCAGAUAGUAUCAGUAAAGCAGAGAGCAGAUGACAUGCCAUGGGGACUGAGCCACAAGUUAGGGAAUAGCUGCCAAUGCCUCAGGAACCAAACAAGAUGUACUCCAUUGCCAAGGAGGCUGCACUUAGUGGUGGGAAGUCUCAUGUCCAUGGAACCUGAGCACAAUGAGAGGGUCCUUGUGUUUGGAAGGAUGAGAUUAGAUGCAAAAGCAAGAAAGACUCAAGCUCCAGUGGGGAGAAUUUGGGAUAGGACUCUAUGUCGCUAAGUAACAAUUGAAGGGUGUGGCUCAGCUGUGUUGACAGAGGGACAAGGCCAAUACUGAUGCAGGCGUGUAGGUAGAUAACUCACCAUGGCCGCAGAUUUACUAGUAAAAGAGGGUCAUGGCUCCGUGCCAUUUUCAAGUAUACUGUCAAAAAGUGUAUGAAGUUCAGAGUGACUGCCAUACCCAUAGCCCUCUUUGAAAAAGGUGACGCUCUGACUUCAGACUAUACCACAAAGCUACAGUCAUCAAAACAGUAUGACAACUGGGACAAAAACAGAAAUGCAGAUCAAGUUGUAUAGAGAACCCAAAAAUAAACCCACACACUUAUGGCCAAUUAAUCUACAACAAAGAAAGCAAGAAUAUACAAUGGAGAAAAGACAGUCUCUGCAAUAAGUGGGGCUGGGCAAACUGUACAGCUACAUGUAGAAGAAUAAAAUUAGAACAAUCUCUAACAACAUAUACAAAAAUAAACUCAAAAUGGAUUAAAGACCUAAAUGUAAGACUGGAUACUAUAUAACUCUCAGAGGAAAAAUAGGCAGAACACCCUUUGACAUAAAUUGAAACAAUUAUUUUUUUGGAUUCCUCUCCUAAAGGAAAUAAAAGCAAAAAUAAACAAAUGGGACCUAGUUAAUCUUAAAACCUUUUGUAUAGCAAAGGAAACCACUGACAAAAUGAAGACAACUCAUCAAAUGGGAGAAAAUAUUUGUAAGUUAUAAGAUCAAUAAGGGAUUAAUAUCCAACAUAUUUAAGCAGAUCAUAUGACUCAAUAUCAAAAAAACAAAACAACCUCAUUAAAAAUGGGCAGAGAAACCAAAUACACAUUUUUCCAGAAAGGAAAUGCAGGUGGCUAACUGGCACAUGAAAAGAUGCUCAAGAUUGCUAGUCAUCAGGGAAAUGCAAAUCAAAACUGCAAUGCGGUAUCACUUCACACCUAUCAGAAUGGAAAUGAGUCAUUCAGAGAAAGACAAAUAUUGUGUGAUAUCCCUUAUAUGUGAAAUCUAAAAAACACAGCAAAGGAGUGAAUACAACAUAAAAAAAGCAGACUCAGAUAUAGAGAACAAACUAGUGGUUAUCAGUGGGGAGGAGAGGAAAGUGCAUCAUAGGGGUGGGGGAGUGGGAGGCACAAGCUAUUGGGUAUAAGGUAGGUUCAACACAAGGAAUAUGGCCAAUAUUUUGUAAUAACUGUUAAUGGAAAGUAACUUUUAAAAACUGUAUAAAAAUAAUUUUUUAAAAGUAAUGAAACAAUGGUAUAAAGCUGCUUUAUUAUGCUAAAUCAUUGUUAUCUGGCCACCUGUAACAGGUGAGCACCUGUUUCAAAAGCCACAGAUUGGGAACCAGGCAUAAUAACACUGCCAGGUACGAGUGCUCACAUUCAAUGGUGACUACUACAUUCAGAUCUCCUAUUUCCUGGAGUUUGAGAGAACUGUAUACAUGUGGAGAAGGAAGCAGUUGAUGGGGAUUGAUGUGCAAGAUCUAGGGAUCAAACAACAACGGCUGACAUUUAUUUGAAGAUUUGUUACCUGCCUGGUGCUGUUAGUGCUUCUAAUGGACUAACCCACUGUAACCCUCAGAACUCCACAAUAAUGAGAUUGUCCCCAUUUUCAGAGGUGGACAAGAGGCACCAGGUGUUUAAAAAUUAUCGAAGGACACAAAAUCAGUACAUGGAAGAGGCAGGCCAUGAAGCCAGAUCUCCAGUGCUGCAUUUUUUUUGUUUUAGCUGCCCCCUUGGCAUACAGAGUUCCCUGGCCAGGUAUCAGAUCCAAGCCACAGUUGUGACCUUGGUAAUGCCAGAUCCUUAACCCACUGUGCCAGGCCAGGGAUAGAACCUGGGUCCAGGUGCUCCAGAGAUGCUACCAACCCCAUUGUGCCACAGCUGGACUCCCAGUGCUGCAUUUUUAUCCACUCCAAGGUACUGCUAACUGGCAUGAGAUAGAAGCAAGGAGGCAGGAGAAACCACAAAACAGAGAGACAGAGUAGAGAUUAGUUUGAUGUUAACAGCAGAGGUAGGAGAAGCAGAGGCAGGAAGUCACUACCUGGUGGGGGCACGAUGAAAACCUACAACUGCACCUGAACCCACUGCGAGGAUGGCAUCAUGUCCUAAAGGCCCUUCCAGUUAGAUCCUUGGCCAUGCUUUCCAUCCCUUCAGGCACUGGAGUGUGUCGGGGGUCUGGGAGGAAGACUUUGAUCUCGCUCUCUAAAUGCUCAGGAUUCAAUUCUAAAAUGUGACCAACUGUCCAAAUUACAUGAAACCAGCUACACAUACAGCAGACACACGUCAUUUGGUUUUUCCUCACUGGCAGCAGGAAACGAUGUGUUUUCCAUGAAGAUGAAAAAUAAAACACAGGAAAGUCAGGAGCAUCUUUUUCAAAUGCCCUUGACUUUGAUACCUUCAGAUAGUGAUGUGUUUAGUUUCCUGAACAAUUUGGGUGGAUCUGCACAGCCUGAGCUGGAGAGUAUGGGCAUCUGGCCAUCAAUCCAAACAUUGAGCAACGGGUUUGCCUGGCUGAGACUUUAUCUCUAGAAUAGAAGGAGGAGGAACUUAUUUAAAGAAUCUCUAUGCAGUCUUGCCCUGCAGGGUUAACUGGAACUCCUUCACUACCCAAGACCCUUUUAGUUAUAUAAGUUUACACCCAUCUUUUUUCCUUAUGAGAAACAUGAAUGAAGUGGAGCAACUUGAAUACAGAUAUUUCAGAAAGAAAAGAAUCUCACUUCUUAAUAUGAAUAGGCCCAUUGUCACAGCACAUCUUUUCUCCGCAUUAGAACACAGCAGUUGGAGUUCCCGUCGUGGCGCAGUGGUUAACAAAUCCGACUAGGAACCAUGAGGUUGCGGGUUCGGUCCCUGCCCUUGCUCAGUGGGUUAAGGAUCCGGCGUUGCCGUGAGCUGUGGUAUAGGUUGCAGAUGCGGCUUGGAUCCUGCGUUGCUGUGGCUCUGGCGUAGGCCGGUGGCUACAGCUCCGAUUCGACCCCUAGCCUGGGAACCUCUAUAUGCCACGGGAGCGGCCCAAGAAAUGGCAAAAAAGACCAAAAAAAAAAAAAAAAGAACACUGCAGUAAUCAUUGCAAGAGUCAAGUUUUGCUGAUGAAUCCUAAAAUCACUGGGUGAAAGUUUGAGGAGAAACAAGAAUAUCUUUCCACCAAUGCAUUUAUUAAUUUCAAAGUGAAAAAUGAAUUUAUGGAGAAAAUCAGACAUCAGCUUACUCAAGUGGCCAAGGUUAAUAGCAGAAGUAAUAAGAUACUAGUUCUUUUCAUGAUGUCGUACCGAAAAGUGCACACUUCCAUCCCUAUUCCUGACAAAAACACAUGACCUCAAUCUAAUUAUGAGAAAAUAUUGGGUAGGACACAAUUGAGGGGCAUUCAACAAAAUAAUACUCUUCAAAAGUGCCAUGAUCAUGAAAAAUAAUGAAAAAUUAAGCAGCUUUCAGAGAUUUGACAAGACUAAGGAGACAUGAUGACUAAGGCUAUGUGGUAUCCUUAGAUUGGGUUCUUGAACAGAAAAAGGAUAUUCAUAAAAACACAGGUGAAAGUCAAAUAAACUCUGUGGGUUAGUUAAUAGCCCCUAAUGUCCAGUGUUAAUUUCUUGACUUGGAACAUUGUACAAUAGUUACACCAAAUGUUAUCAUUGAGUGAAGCUGGCUGAAGGGUGUAUGAGAACUCUGUACUGUUUACGAAACUUCUCUAUAAUUAUGAAAUUAUUUCAAAAUAAAAAGUUUAGCAGCUUUCUCAAGUGGAGAAAAUAAUAUAUUUCUCUAUGAAAUGGUUCAUUCCCAUCAUCUGCUAAAUAGUUUAUAAUGAUUUAAUUAUGUCACAUUGCUAUCUCUACAUGGUAUAUUUCUGGGUCCUUCAUUCUGUUUGGCCUACUUUUCAUCUGUAAAGUCUGCUUUUCAUCUAUAAAUGUCAUAAUUUGGAGGAAAUUAUUUUACCUUUUUAAAAAAAUAAACACAGCUUUGC